rnacentral:rRNA from 1 species
CUAGUAAUGGCAGGUCAGCAUACUGCCGUGAAUACGUUCCCGGGCCUUGUACACACCGCCCGUCACACCAUGAGAGUUGGGGAUACCCGAAGCCUGUGAGCCAACAGUUAAAUGGGGCAGCAGUCGAAGGUAGAAUCAAUGAUUGGGGUGAAGUCGUAACAAGGUACC